UGAUGGUGCACGCAUUGUGCCUUAUUUCUUAAAAAAGAGUUAUUGAGCAAGAACACAACCUGCAAAUGACACCAUUUCAUAUCAUCAAUCUACUAAGUAAUCUGAGUUAUGGUACCAUGUACAGAGUUCAUAGAAAUUCAAAACAUCAACCAUUCAACAUCAUUCAGUAGACUAACAAGAAAGAUGGGAGAUGGGGCAAAAACAAGAAAGGAAGUAGAUUAUUCAGAACCAUAUAAGAAAGAGGUAUCACGUAUGCAAUCCCAACCCAAUACAGUAAACACGAGAAUAUAACUAAAUAUGCACCUUGCAAACAAUUGAAAUCCUCAUAAUUUGAAUAAUUAAUAAACUAUUGGAAAAGGCAUAUUAAAAACCCUGUAGUUCUCACAUAUAGCAGGCCAAGCAAAAUAACAUCACAUACAUUCAAGAAACAAAAACAAUAGAUGAGUUAGAUAUAAAUAAUCAGCAAGAUUAACGAAAAUCAAUUACAAAAAGCAAAGAAAUGGGAUAAUCUGCACGUAAACAAUGUCUAUCAAUGCCAGAAUUUCAAGGCUCCAUUAAAAUUGA
rnacentral:misc_RNA from 1 species